CGGAGGAUCCAAGCGUUAUCCGGAAUCAGUUGGGUUUAAAGGGUCCGUAGGCGGGUUUAUAAGUCAGUGGUGAAAGCCCAUCGCUCAACGACGGAACGGCCAUUGAUACUGUAGAUCUUGAAUUAUUAGGAAGUAACUAGAAUAUGUAGUGUAGCGGUGAAAUGCUUAGAGAUUACAUGGAAUACCGAUUGCGAAGGCAGGUUACUACUAAUGGAUUGACGCUGAUGGACGAAAGCGUGGGUAGCGAACAGGAUUAGAUACCCUGGUAGUCCACGCCGUAAACGAUGGAUACUAGCUGUUCGGAGCAAUCUGAGUGGCUAAGCGAAAGUGAUAAGUAUCCCACCUGGGGAGUACGUUCGCAAGAAUG
rnacentral:rRNA from 1 species